CAAAGUAUAGCUUAACAUCAAAGCACUUCGCUUACACCGAAAACAUGUCUGUGCAAAUCAAACUACUUUGA
rnacentral:tRNA from 1 species